GACAGAGGGUGCAAACGUUGCUCGGAGUCACUGGGCGUAAAGGGCGUGUAGGCGGGAAUGUAAGUCGGGCGUGAAAGCCCCAGGCUCAACCUGGGAACUGCACUCGAAACUGCGUUUCUUGAGUAUCGGAGAGGAAAGCGGAAUACCUGGUGUAGAGGUGAAAUUCGUAGAUAUCAGGUGGAACACCAGUGGCGAAGGCGGCUUUCUGGACGAUUACUGACGCUGAGACGCGAAAGCGUGGGGAGCAAACAGG
rnacentral:rRNA from 1 species